ensembl:snRNA U6 U6 spliceosomal RNA
GUGCUCACUUUGGCGGCAUAGAUAUUAAAAACUGGAAUAAUACAGAGGUUAGCAUGGCUCCUGUGCAUGCAUGACAUGCAAAUUCUGAAGCAUUUCAUAUUUUU